rnacentral:rRNA from 1 species
ACAUGCAAGUCGAGCGGACAGAAGGGAGCUUGCUCCCGGAUGUUAGCGGCGGACGGGUGAGUAACACGUGGGUAACCUGCCUGUAAGACUGGGAUAACUCCGGGAAACCGGAGCUAAUACCGGAUAGUUCCUUGAACCGCAUGGUUCAAGGAUGAAAGACGGUUUCGGCUGUCACUUACAGAUGGACCCGCGGCGCAUUAGCUAGUUGGUGAGGUAACGGCUCACCAAGGCGACGAUGCGUAGCCGACCUGAGAGGGUGAUCGGCCACACUGGGACUGAGACACGGCCCAGACUCCUACGGGAGGCAGCAGUAGGGAAUCUUCCGCAAUGGACGAAAGUCUGACGGAGCAACGCCGCGUGAGUGAUGAAGGUUUUCGGAUCGUAAAGCUCUGUUGUUAGGGAAGAACAAGUGCAAGAGUAACUGCUUGCACCUUGACGGUACCUAACCAGAAAGCCACGGCUAACUACGUGCCAGCAGCCGCGGUAAUACGUAGGUGGCAAGCGUUGUCCGGAAUUAUUGGGCGUAAAGGGCUCGCAGGCGGUUUCUUAAGUCUGAUGUGAAAGCCCCCGGCUCAACCGGGGAGGGUCAUUGGAAACUGGGAAACUUGAGUGCAGAAGAGGAGAGUGGAAUUCCACGUGUAGCGGUGAAAUGCGUAGAGAUGUGGAGGAACACCAGUGGCGAAGGCGACUCUCUGGUCUGUAACUGACGCUGAGGAGCG